GUGCGCGGUCGCGGCCCGACACGAGUUCGCAGGAGAGCGGCGAGCCGGCCUCCGACACGCUGGAAGAGUCGACGCACGAGACGGAGACGUUUGACUCGGCCUCGUCGAGUAGCGCGUGUCUGACGUUCGAGUCGGCCGCCGAUCACACGUGAUGGCCGCGCGGCGCCGGGCGGUGACGUCACGGGCGGCCCGGCCCGACGGCCAGCCCGCUCGCCCGUCUCUAGAGGUGCCAACACACAGCCGCCCACCACCCGUGUGUACAUAGGAUAAUUAUAUUCUAUUCAAGAUGCCGUAUUGUGUAACAACAUAAGUAUACCAAAUUUGUUAUUGUUAUUUUUGAAGAAUUCCACUGGGGUGUGCGUCGCUCCUGUCAGCAGUUGCUUGAGCUUACGUUUGAGAGGGGCGGACACGCGCUCGCGCGCGCGCGCGCGGCGAGCCUUGUGAGCGCUGUCAGGCCUUGUAGAGGCGGGGGACCGGCGGCAGCCGCCUGGUGCGAUCCCUGCGGAGUUGAGUUUGGCUCGGUGCGGCGCCCCGGCCCGGGCCCGGCGGCGUGCGCGGCCGCCGGAAGCUUUAUGGGCCGCGGAGGCGCGCGGCGCACUUAAUGGCUUGACUGUGUCUCUCCUGUUGACCAAGAUUAGGACGGGCUGGCUCCGUAAUCUUUGUGGCCCGGGAGCGGGCGAGGCGAGACGUGUAUGUAACCGUGCACAAAGAGCGUAUUGCGAUUUAGUACUGUACCUAUUUGUUCUUUGUCAGACCAUUUAUACUUGCAGCGUCGCCAACCAGUUCAGAUAAACGAAUGAUUCGA